rnacentral:rRNA from 1 species
GUGCCAGCCGCCGCGGUAAUACCGGCAGCCCGAGUGAUGGCCGCUCUUAUUGGGCCUAAAGCGUCCGUAGCCUGCCGUACAGGUCCGUCGGGAAAUCCACCCGCUUAACGGGCGGACGGCCGGCGGAAACCAUACGGCUUGGGACCAGAGGACCCGAGGGGUACGUCGGGGGUAGGAGUGAAAUCCCGAGAUCCUCGACGGACCGCCGGUGGCGAAAGCGCCUCGGGAAGACGGACCCGACAGUGAGGGACGAAAGCUGGGAUCUCGAACCGGAUUAGAUACCCUAGUAGUCC